AACGGCCGUACCAUGCUGAAUAUACCGGUUCUCGUUAGAUCACCGAAGUUAAGCAUCAUUGGGCGCGGUCGUGGGUGGUACCACGGGUGACCACCCUGGGAACACUGCGUGCCGUU